UACGUAGGGGGCGAGCGUUGUCCGGAAUCAUUGGGCGUAAAGCGCGUGUAGGCGGCUUGGUAAGUCCGGUGUGAAACCUUGGGGCUCAACCCCAAGCCUGCACUGGAUACUGCCUCGCUUGAGUCCGGGAGGGGAGAGCGGAAUUCCUAGUGUAGCGGUGAAAUGCGCAGAUAUUAGGAAGAACACCGGUGGCGAAGGCGGCAUCCUGGACCGGUAUUGACGCUGAUGCGCGAAAGCCAGGGGAGCAAACGGG
rnacentral:rRNA from 1 species